rnacentral:rRNA from 1 species
UAGAGUUUGAUCAUGGCUCAGGAUGAACGCUGGCGGCGUGCCUAAUACAUGCGAGUCGAACGAGUUUUCGUUGAUGAUCGGUGCUUGCACCGAGAUUCAACAUGGAACGAGUGGCGGACGGGUGAGUAACACGUGGGUAACCUGCCCUUAAGUGGGGGAUAACAUUUGGAAACAGAUGCUAAUACCGCAUAGAUCCAAGAACCGCAUGGUUCUUGGCUGAAAGAUGGCGUAAGCUAUCGCUUUUGGAUGGACCCGCGGCGUAUUAGCUAGUUGGUGAGGUAAUGGCUCACCAAGGCGAUGAUACGUAGCCGAACUGAGAGGUUGAUCGGCCACAUUGGGACUGAGACACGGCCCAAACUCCUACGGGAGGCAGCAGUAGGGAAUCUUCCACAAUGGACGCAAGUCUGAUGGAGCAACGCCGCGUGAGUGAAGAAGGCUUUCGGGUCGUAAAACUCUGUUGUUGGAGAAGAAUGGUCGGCAGAGUAACUGUUGCCGGCGUGACGGUAUCCAACCAGAAAGCCACGGCUAACUACGUGCCAGCAGCCGCGGUAAUACGUAGGUGGCAAGCGUUAUCCGGAUUUAUUGGGCGUAAAGCGAGCGCAGGCGGUUUUUUAAGUCUGAUGUGAAAGCCCUCGGCUUAACCGAGGAAGCGCAUCGGAAACUGGGAAACUUGAGUGCAGAAGAGGACAGUGGAACUCCAUGUGUAGCGGUGAAAUGCGUAGAUAUAUGGAAGAACACCAGUGGCGAAGGCGGCUGUCUGGUCUGUAACUGACGCUGAGGCUCGAAAGCAUGGGUAGCGAACAGGAUUAGAUACCCUGGUAGUCCAUGCCGUAAACGAUGAAUGCUAGGUGUUGGAGGGUUUCCGCCCUUCAGUGCCGCAGCUAACGCAUUAAGCAUUCCGCCUGGGGAGUACGACCGCAA